UACGUAGGGUCCGAGCGUUGUCCGGAAUUAUUGGGCGUAAAGAGCUCGUAGGCGGUUUGUCGCGUCUGCUGUGAAAUCCCGAGGCUCAACCUCGGGCCUGCAGUGGGUACGGGCAGACUGGAGUGCGGUAGGGGAGAAUGGAAUUCCUGGUGUAGCGGUGGAAUGCGCAGAUAUCAGGAGGAACACCGAUGGCGAAGGCACUCUACUGGGCCAUUACUGACACUGAGAGACGAAAGCUAGGGGAGCAAAUGGG
rnacentral:rRNA from 1 species